CGAAGAAGAAAGCACAUAAUGUUAAAAACUGUCUGGCAAUGAAAGAUUGACAACUAUACAAUCAUUUUAUAUAUUUUAAUGGUUGUGCUUGUUAUCAUCUUGUUUGCACUUUGGUUUAAAUGGUAUGAAAGACGGAGAGUUCUGUAAGGACCGGGACCACGUGCAAAUGGAGCAUCAUGAGGUGUAACAAGCAGUUAAAAUUGUAUGUUUUAAUUAAACGUUUUUAAAAGUU